GCAGAAUCAGUUCAGCAAGAACUAGAAUCUUACAGAGCACAGGAAGAUGAGGUCAAACGACUUAAAAGCAUUAUGGGACUAGAAGGGGAAGAUGAAGGAGCCAUAAGUAUGCUUUCUGACAAUACCGCUAAGCUAACAUCAGCUGUUAGUUCUUUGCCAGAACUCCUUGAGAAAAAAAGACUUAUUGAUCUCCAUACAAAUGUUGCCACUGCUGUUUUAGAACAUAUAAAGGUAAAUUUAACUUUUUCCCCCCACAAUAUGACUUGCAUUUACAUAGGGUUUUAUACUUUGUAAGAUGCUUUAGUAUUCAUUAUCUUAUUGAGCCCCCACUGUAACAUGAAGUAUAAUUAUGGAAGACAGCAAGUAUUAUAGUUAUUUUUUUGCAAAUAAAGAAACCUAGGAAUCCAGAAAGAUAAGUGAUUUCCAAGGUCACAUGUUUAGUAAAUAGAAGUGGGAAUCUAUGAUAUUUCUAUUAUAUUGCACUGCCUCAAUAUUGC
rnacentral:sRNA from 1 species